CUUUAUUCAUCCUGAAAACGGGGAUAAUGGUAAGUAUUUAAAAAGUUAUGAAUUAAUUAUUCUUUGGCAUUUUGAGGUCCUUGAAAGCACAAUGUUUUGUUAUCUAAGGGCCUAAUUCCAAACCAACUGCAUUCAUUCAGUGGCGACUCUGUGAACUUUAAAUCACACCUUUAGUGCAGACAAAGUUAUUAAUAAAAAUAGAAAGUGCUUUAUUUCAUAGCUAAUAAAUAUCCUAAUAUCUAUCAUAACUGAGUCUCUGUUUAUACUUCUUUAAAAACAGAGAUAAUAUUUACCUUCUCCACAGUGUACAUUCUGUCUUAAUAAUUGUUGCCACUUUUAAGAAUCUUGGAAGCAAGUUAGUUGCUAGCUGAGUGCAGGCACUAUGACUAGUAUCAAAAAAAUCAUUCUUGAAAAGUUCAAUAUUUAAGGACAUUUAUCAAUAUUUCUUUAAAUGCACCAACAUUUUUUGAAGUUCCUAUUGGGCUUUGACUGGACUAGUCUCUAGAGCGGGCACUAUGAUCACAAAGGCUUGGAUUGGCAGGGCAAGGCUGUAUGUCCAUUGCCCUUUUGUGGAGAUCAAACCUGGUUGGCAUGGCACACCCCUCAUUAUGAAGUCCCCUGGCCCAAGACCAGCCAUCAGUGCAUUCAGCUCAGGUCAGUGCUCAGCUUUGUAUCAGAAAGUGGGUUGCUGAAUUGCAGCUAUUUUAAAAGUUCUGCCCACUUCCUGGGUUAGGGAUUUCAAACAUACUCAUGAGGGACCUAAAGCAGCUCCUAGAUGAUCCGAGGACAGCACCCUGUGUAUUAUCCAGUUCUGUGGUGCAUGAUGGGUACAUCUGGGAAAGGACUGGUCAAAGAGCACAUGCUGGAAUGCAGCACCUAGGGCUGCAUAUUAUGACGUUUCUUUUCAUAAGGGCUCUGGGAGAGUUAACGGCCACAGCGAGGCAGAGGAGUUAUUUCACUCUUGGUUGAAAAUGCUGGUUUGUCAUUUAUUUUGUGGGACAUUAACUGAAUUGAAAAAGCAGCUGGUGUGUGGGGUAAAGAAGCUACAUGCCUUUCCAAGGGCUACCAGCCUAAUUUUGGACUUCUCCUGAAGGAACUAGCAGAGCAGUCCAUUGUCACACUUGCUCACUGGGGGCUUCUUAAGAGAAGGAUUUCCAUAUUUCUGUUGUAUGAGAGAUAUGGAAACAGUUUGACUACCAUUCCCAGCUGCAGAAAUCACAUCAUUGCUGGAUAAAUUCCUGUCCUGUGUCAUUUAUGAGGUGAUAAUCACCUGGGGGAAAGUCCUUUGAAUGUCGAUUUUAAUCCCUUCUCUAGGUAGUGAUCAGAUUAUACCAAUCACCAGAGCAUCUAUGGAUUUUGCUCCUGCAGAGUAUAGUGAUAAUAAAACAAGAGGAUAGUCAUGAUGAGAAACAUACACUUUCCUGAGUAGCUUCCUUGCUGAUCAGUUUUGGGUGGAAUUUAGCUGAUCAUCGACUCUACCCCUCCUACCCCCACCCACAUCAUUUAAGAUUCUCCACUAUAUGAAUCUCCCAUCAAUUCAACUAACUCCGUUCUUCUUUAUCUAUUCCCCAUGGACCGUCAGAAGUAAACACAGCCCUUUCUGAUGGUUUGAAGAAAUAAACUCAGUACAAAUGAAAGGAGUAUUGAGAAAGUACAUGAAAAGGGAACUCUCUUAGAAAAUCAUCUACAGCGUGGACAAUAUAGAAUACACUGAUCUAAGUCAUUUCUCAAUAUCUCCAGUGAUGGAACCUCAAUUACUGUUCUAGGCAAUUUAUUCCUUUUGUCAGAGCAUUGCCAUUUAACUCCCUAGAAAAUUUGAUUAAUGUCUCGUGUGAAUGUCUGUUUUUAUCCAGUUACAAUCGGAGUACCAUCAGAAGAGGAUGGAUUACGUAAAAUCAAUGUUGGAUUCUGGUAGGAAAAGAGUUUUGCAUUACACACAUUAUAUCAUGUGGGCGGUUGGGAAAGAUGAGUGUUAAAGCCACAUAGUUAAGCCAACAGUCUCCGAAUGGCACAGAGGCUGACAUCUUCACAGAUAACCCUGCAGGCAGCUCUUAGUAUAGACCAUAUCAUGUCUCCUGUUUCUUUUUUAAUCUCUUGACUGUUGUGUUGCUGAAUGUCUGGGUUCCUCUCAGAGAUCCCAUUCCUCAAUAUCCUUUUUCUAGGUACCUGAAAGAUUGAGUAAGCUACUAUUUUCAGUGGGGUUUCCCGUUCAAUAUUGGAGUCAGCAAUGAUUUAGCUCCUCUACUCUUCCCUGUUUUCCUUCUAGCACUGUCCCUAAAUUGCUGUGCUUAUUGAUACUUUAUUAUUAUCGGGAACUCACUACUAAUAUUUUGUUGUUUCUAUUUUAUUUAGGAUGAAGGCUCCAUCGAGGGCCAGACCCCAUCUCCGCAGUAAAUUUGCUGCAUCCCUCUGGCCCCUCACUGCCUUCUUUAUGCCCAGUGAAGGCUCCUUAUAUGCCACAAAGGCAUAUCAAGCCUCAUUCAUCAGAUAAUUCUGGAAUCAGCUUCCUCCUCACCUGAGUAUCCAGCACUUCAAGGAGACGAACUCCCACCAUUCGGAAAGGGUGGAUGCAGCAGUCAUUGAAAAACACUUCCACAGACAGAGAUCUCUAUCCUGCCUAGACCCCAGUCAAGUCUGGGUUUAAAAUACUCUGGGAGGGCUCAGGCCCUCAGCAUUGGACCCGCUUUUCAAGUGAUGAGGCUCCUCUUCAAAGAGGAGAAAGAAGAUGAGUGCUCCCUCCUGGGCCACUUCAAGACAUGACCUUCCUUUUCCUGCCCCCGGUCUCUCAGAGGCACAGAUCUACAGCCAGUACAGAGCUCUGCUGGAAGAGAGUGGACCCUCUGCCAGAGACAACUCUGCGCAGCCAAAGAGCAGCCAUAUUACUUCCUCUCCUUACAGAGGGUCAGGAGGCUCCUCGUGGAGAUCUAGAAAAAGGCUGUGUGUAGGUCCAGGCCACCGUUAAACAGUCACCAGAUGAGAGAGCUAAACACCACCAGGGAUGGUCCCCGUGGCCAUGCCAUUUCAAAUUCCACCACACGAUGCCUGGCAGGUGCUUGCUGGAUCUUGGUACGGUGAUGUGAGUUCGGAGACUGGAGUACUGAGAGCGACAAUACAAUGGAGAAAACCUAAUUUGACUGAUCUUACUAAUACUGAGUGCAGCUGGUGCUGGAUGUGCCCAGAGCAUUGACUGUGCUAACCCUGCUGGCUGUCAGCACCGAGGACACUGCUCAUGGAGCUCCAUCUACAGCUGAGGAUGGUGGAGAAGAGACUGAGGGGGGCCGGGACGCAUGAGCGCAAAUGGCGCCACAAGGCACCUACUGUGCAUGCGCGUCCUGACCAGACAUUGCUACCAAAAGUCUCCAAUGAGCGGUGCCAGGAUGCACCACCUACAGUGGAGCACCCACAGGGACAGCAGUCAAAGAAGAACUGUCAGCUCAGUACACUGAACCAGUCAGGAUGAAGGCUCCAUCGAGUGUCAGACUACGUGUCUGCAGCCAAUUUGCUGCAUCCCUCUGGCCCCUCACAUACUACUUCAUCCCAAGUGAAGGCUCCUUAUCUGUCACAAAGCCAUGUCAAUCCUCAUCCAGCAGGACACAUUGUACGUUGUAUGAUAGCUCUGAUGCUCACAUUCAAUCAUUGGCCCCAUAAAGUUUGGCCUGGCCAUGAAAUCAUCAUCCCCUUUCCCUCUUCAGAUGAGGAAUCCAGCAUCAGGCAAUUGCUCAGAUCAGUGUUCAUUCCCCCAGGAGGCCUCAGUCUAACCAUUCUAUCAAGAAAGAAGAGACUUUCUUUAUUUAAAGCAGACCCUCUUCCAUUCAGCAAGUAUACAAGAUCUACUUUGCAACAUAAUUGGUACUUGGGAUACCAUGCAGACAUUCAGUUCGGUGCCUAUCAAUGAAGGUCAGAACACAGGCUCCCAUCUGAAGAGAAUUCAUAGGGUGGCAGGAAUAAACCCAACAUGCAGCAGUGGCUGUAUGUAAGACCCUCAUCAUAUUCUAAUCUCAAAGCACUGUACACUAUCAGGAUCAGACUCAUUAUUGAAAAAAGACUGGGAAGCUGCACUGUUACCCUUCUGCAAUGGCUCACACAAACCCCAGUGGACACUAGAAGCUGUUUUGAUGCAAGAAGAAAACGAUGGACCAAAAAUUUCACAUGGUUCCUGUAUGGAGAUGCAUGCAACAGGCUUCAAUGGAGCAUCGGAGGUGAUCCUGAUUAUCAAAAACAAUUGAGCUACAAUUUGGAGCAGCAACCUUGUAUGGGAGUGUUGGAAUCAUGGAUAGAAAAGAUUUGAGGUACUUGCUGGAUCUUGGUAUGGUGGUGUGAGUUCGGAGACUGGAGUACUGAGAGCAACAAUACAAUUGAGAACCUAAUUUAACUGCUCUUACUAAUACUGAGGUUAGCUGUCUUUUUUGCAAACCCUCAGCCUGAUAGUCAAAAUAUAAAGAACUGGAUUAUUGAGAUCACAAUGGGAUCUGUAGAAAAUCCAGACAUAGUUGCAGAAAACACCCACAGAUGUUCUCUCUUUCGCUGCUCCUACCAUUUGGGGUGGUCAUUACUUGAUAGCUAGUCUACUCCCAGGCUGGAUGAAGUUGCAAGAAGUAGUUCAAGUACUGUUACAAACAAUAGAAGCGCUUCAAAGCAAUGUGUCUAUGAGACUAGCUUGCAUACAAGCACAAAUGUGGACCAAUGGUUUGGUAAAAAUAUUCCACUCCUGAUUAUAAGUGGUAUUUUGCCAUUUGAAAUAAGUAGUAUCAUGUUGAAACAUGUUACUGUCUAGGAGCACAAUUUAGAUUCUUGGUGUAAAAUGAUAAAUUUUACAUAAAAUGUGCAGCAAAAUGAAAUGUCUUAUGUUCAAAUAGAACGGCUAUCCCCUAUUAUGGGGCUGGGAUUAAAGGUCAAUUAUAGUGUAAUGCAACCAAUGGAACACAAAUUAUGGGCCACAAAUCAAACCACCGUAUGGAAAACAGUAGAACUUAAAACUUGUAUGGAAGAACACGGAAGAGGAUAUAUUUGUAAUAAUGAUGCUAUACAAUCUUAUGAGAUCUGUUUAUAUCCAGAAAAAAAGGAAAAUACCAUUGUCAACUAAAUCCAUUUUCUAACACUGGAUCUGUGGUUGUAUAUAUAGGAAAUACAAGUGUAUGUAUUAGAAGUUGAUGCAGAACAGUUUAAUGUUAAUUAUUUGUUUAAUAUAAGACAUAAUCCUUAUGAAAAUCAAUGUUUAGAUGAAAAAGUUUCAGUGAUUGGAUGUGAUUUUAACUUUAUAUUACCUGAAGUUGAAUAUAAGGAAGUUAAGGACCAAAAGUAUCAAGUGUCAACCCAGUGCCACUGAGAAUGAAUAUCAGUGGAGUUAAACAAUUGCUAAACCAUUCUCAUUUGCAAAGAUACUUGCAAAAGGCUCAGGAAAAUGCAUGUAAAACAAUGAUCACUGUAUAUCACUCAACUGAUGAAAUUAAACAAAUUGUGGAACAAGUCAAAAGAUACAAAACACAAUUGGUGAGAGAGGUAUUUUUGGGAUGGUCACCUCCUGCCACUGGAAUUUUAAAUAAAAUGCUGCACCCUAUUGUAUGGCUAACUGAAACAUAUUGUUUGUGUAGUACCUGUAAUAAUAAUAUGUUGGACCAGGAAAAAAAUUAUUUAAAUUCCAAUUUGCCCAGAGAGGAUUAGAAAUUGAAAAGGGUCUGUUAUAAGCUCUAAAAACGGUUCAGGAAAUGUUGGAAAUUGAAGGCAAACUGUAUUGUAUUGUUAAGAAUACUUAAAAAACUGUAAACAAAUGCAUGUCACUGUUUUUUGUGAAAGUUGAAAAGAAAGCAACAUAAGCAAUCUUACAUUUUUGGAAAUGAUUGUAAAAAUGUGUUUAUGUAAUAGUUUCCGUUUAAGAUUUAGUUACAUUAUGUUAAGUUACCAUUUAGAAGUGUUUAUGUAAUGUAAUUGUUAAAAGCUUGUGGCAAUUGUCUGAGUUUUGGCAAACUGAAGACAUCUGUUAUAGAAAUCAAAGCUGGUAUACACACAGGGUUGCGAUUACGAAAGAGCUACAAUGUAGCAUAAAAGGCCAACUGCCAGCAACAGUUCUGGAAUCCAGAAGCUGAGUCUGAGAAGGAGACAGGCAUGCAGGGAGAGCCAGCAAGAGAAGCCACACUAAAGCUACUACAAAGAGAGGGGACCAGAGCUGACCCACCAGGAGCUGAACAGCAACAACAAUUUGAUUUUUAAAAUAAAGCAGCCACAGAUUUAUAGCAAUUGAAGAUCUGCUGUCAGCAAUUUGUUGCAAACUGGCCACUUGCAAGAGAUCACUUGCUUAGAAUCAUUUGAACUAUAUACUAUUGUAGUUUAAGUGCUGUUUAAUUUGUAUUACGGGAUUUUUGUGCCUUGUUUAGGAUUUUUAGAUCAUAUUGUAGU